rnacentral:rRNA from 1 species
AGUGAACGCUGGCGGUAGGCCUAACACAUGCAAGUCGAACGGCAGCACAGUAAGAGCUUGCUCUUACGGGUGGCGAGUGGCGGACGGGUGAGGAAUACAUCGGAAUCUACUUUUUCGUGGGGGAUAACGUAGGGAAACUUACGCUAAUACCGCAUACGACCUACGGGUGAAAGCAGGGGAUCUUCGGACCUUGCGCGAUUGAAUGAGCCGAUGUCGGAUUAGCUAGUUGGCGGGGUAAAGGCCCACCAAGGCGACGAUCCGUAGCUGGUCUGAGAGGAUGAUCACCCACACUGGAACUGUGACACGGUCCAGACUCCUACGAGAGGCAGCAGUGGGGAAUAUUGGACAAUGGGCGAAAGCCUGAUCCAGCCAUACCGCGUGGGUGAAGAAGGCCUUCGGGUUGUAAAGCCCUUUUGUUGGGAAAGAAAAGCAGCAGGUUAAUACCCCGCUGUUCUGACGGUACCCAAAGAAUAAGCACCGGCUAACUUCGUG